rnacentral:rRNA from 1 species
ACUCCUACGGGAGGCAGCAGUGGGGAAUAUUGCACAAUGGGGGAAACCCUGAUGCAGCCAUGCCGCGUGUAUGAAGAAGGCCUUCGGGUUGUAAAGCACUUUCAGCGAGGAGGAAAGGUUAGUAGUUAAUACCUGCUAGCUGUGACGUUACUCGCAGAAGAAGCACCGGCUAACUCCGUGCCAGCAGCCGCGGUAAUACGGAGGGUGCGAGCGUUAAUCGGAAUUACUGGGCGUAAAGCGUGCGCAGGCGGUUUGUUAAGCGAGAUGUGAAAGCCCCGGGCUCAACCUGGGAACCGCAUUUCGAACUGGCAAACUAGAGUCUUGUAGAGGGGGGUAGAAUUCCAGGGUGUAGCGGUGAAAUGCGUAGAGAUCUGGAGGAAUACCGGUGGCGAAGGCGGCCCCCUGGACAAAGACUGACGCUCAGGCACGAAAGCGUGGGGAGCAAACAGGAUUAGAUACCCUGGUAGGAUAG